rnacentral:ncRNA from 1 species
CUGCAAGCCCUGCGGAGAAUUCUCUCUUCUUCGUAAAAGAUUGCGUCCGUGGAAUCGGCUCGUCUGGAGAUACGAAUAUGGUUCCAGUAGAGCGCCGCGUCUCAGGCAGCGUCCGCUGCGCUCUCGGCGGUCCUGGAAAAUCCAAGUCCGUGACGAUUCGCAGCUCUCGCGUCAGUCCGUAUCGACCAUUUGCAACAGGUCUCCAAGAUGUACUUCUUCUAGUCGAUAGCGCCACUGUAGGUAAGGGAAGUCGGCAAACUAGAUCCGUACUUUCAGAAAAAGGAUUGGUUCCGAGGACCAAGUCGGUCGGGCCGUGUGUGUUGCCGCGCGACAACGUCACCGUUCUUUCGUUGUUUAUUUUCACUGUAGUCUACGAAAUAACCGGAGAUGCAUUUAGACUUAGUAUUGUAAAUCUGUUAUUCUUUUUUAUACUGGAAAUUAUGAACAUUAGUGUCGUUAUUAACAGUUUUUCUAACUGACCAAUCACUAAGAAUGUGUAUCUCGUUCAAGAUGUACUAGUUUUGUUUUUCUAACCGAUGUUUACAUUCUUUGUCAACAUGUACCAGCAAAAAAUACACAUGUAUAUCCUCACGCCCGCGCAUGUAUAUACGAUGGGCUUCUAGACAGUCCCCGUCAAUCGAAUCCCACAUGAAAGAUAUUGGUCAACUUGAAGGUAUGAUAGACGAUACAAUCUCAAGAUGUUACGCAAUGCAUUACAACACGGACCAACGCUAUUCUAAAGCGAACCAAAUUGCUGUGUCUAUACGUAUAUAUCCUGACGUACAUCUCUCUGCCCCUGGUUUUA